rnacentral:rRNA from 1 species
CGGCCGCGUCGACCACGGCUAGAGUGUGUCAGAGGGGGGUAGAAUUCCACGUGUAGCAGUGAAAUGCGUAGAUAUGUGGAGGAAUACCGAUGGCGAAGGCAGCCCCCUGGGAUAACACUGACGCUCAUGCACGAAAGCGUGGGGAGCAAACAGGAUUAGAUACCCUGGUAGUCCACGCCCUAAACGAUGUCUACUAGUUGUCGGGUCUUAAUUGACUUGGUAACGCAGCUAACCCGUGAAGUAGACCGCCUGGGGAGUACGGUCGCAAGAUUAAAACUCAAAGGAAUUGACGGGGACCCGCACAAGCGGUGGAUGAUGUGGAUUAAUUCGAUGCAACGCGAAAACCUUACC